rnacentral:lncRNA from 1 species
GACCACUGAUGGCUGAUGUUGUCCAGUCACUAGUCCCGCUGGUGAAAUACAACCGGUCAACUCCAAAGAUAAGCAGCUCCCCGAGCUUCCAUGCCUCCAGGUCACCUGCAUUUCCAGAUAAAGUAGGUGAUUGAAACUAAAGUAUAACCUAUCUCAGUCAGUGCAUCUCCUUUUAGCUAAAUUGGAAACUUGCCUAUUUCUUGUUAUUUGGGCCUUUUAUUACAGUCUUCAGCAAUCUGCAUGCAGAAAAACUAGUACUUUAGCUUAUGAAUGCUAAUUAUCUUCAAGUGGGUAUGGUGAAAUUUUAAUCAGCUGUAUUAGAGCAUCUCCAAAGAUAAGCAGCUCCCCGAGCUUCCAUGCCUCCAGGUCACCUGCAUUUCCAGAUAAAGUAGGUGAUUGAAACUAAAGUAUAACCUAUCUCAGUCAGUGCAUCUCCUUUUAGCUAAAUUGGAAACUUGCCUAUUUCUUGUUAUUUGGGCCUUUUAUUACAGUCUUCAGCAAUCUGCAUGCAGAAAAACUAGUACUUUAGCUUAUGAAUGCUAAUUAUCUUCAAGUGGGUAUGGUGAAAUUUUAAUCAGCUGUAUUAGAGCAUCUCCAAAGAUAAGCAGCUCCCCGAGCUUCCAUGCCUCCAGGUCACCUGCAUUUCCAGAUAAAGUAGGUGAUUGAAACUAAAGUAUAACUUAUCUCAGUCAGUGCAUCUCCUUUUAGCUAAAUUGGAAACUUGCCUAUUUCUUGUUGUUUGGGCAUUUUAUUACAGUCUUCAGCAAUCUGCAUGCAGAAAAACUAGUACUUUAGCUUAUGAAUGCUAAUUAUCUUCUAAGUGGGUAUGGUGAAAUUUUAAUCAGCUGAAUUAGAGCAUCUCCAAAAGUCUCU